CUGAGGAAGUGUGACUGGAGCGUGACUCAAAACGGCAGGCAUUAUGGCCCCAGUGCCACUGACGACACUUUGGGGAUUACUUGGCAAAGUCCUGGUACCUGGGCGAGCUUAGUUCCAUUCCAAGUAUCGAACGGGACUCCGAUUCUGCCAACAAAUGUCCACCAGAACUACAGCAUAAACAUCAUUGGUGAGCCGCUGGUCCCCGCUGAGACAGGGAACUGAACACAAAGCCCCCCCCCCCCAGGGUGGAUGCAUGGCCGGGGGGUGCUGGUGGUGCACAGCCAGCCCUACAGGUGUCCGCAGCCAUGGAUGAAACCAGCAAAGCAGCACGAAGCUGCACAAUCGUCCCCUAACUCCCCAUCUCUCCCCCUUCCGUGCCCCCCUCCCACUCCCCCUUUUGAAGGACACUGGCCGUGAAGUGAAGGGUUUUUUCGGAGGAAAGAAAAAAAGCUUCAGGUCUGCCGUGUCCCCUCCGCCUCGCCAUCUCCACCUCCACCCACCAGUCAGUCGUUGUGUUGGAAGAACUUCUCAAUCCAUUCAAAUACUGUGAUGUAUAGAUGCCUUAAUGUUUUAUUGCAUGACACUCUAGUCUCUUAGCGGCAAUUCCUACUAUUUUUCCGUGCUGUGGGAGGAAGUAAAAUCUUGAUUUACACACACACAUACAUGAAGAGGUCUGCGCAGCGACAACCUCUGCCUGGUGGAUGGCUCUGAGACUCUAAGCUCUCCGGUCAGACCUCUUGAAAAGAGGCCCCCCCCCGCGUGAAACGAUUCACUGUGUACACCAUAGGAACAAAAAAUUGUGAAUUCAGAGUUUCUUCUUGCGUUUGAUUUCAGUUUACUGUGAUACGACUCUCUGUUCAGAAAAAUGUGUUGACUUUGUUUAUUCUUUACUGCUACUUACUUUAAGAAUUAACGUGAAUACUUACGGUAAGAGUUGAGAACUCUUGAUGCGGUUUUAAAAAAACACUAAAUGUUUGGCUUGAGAUUGGACCCCUCAUUAAAAGAAUUUGCAACUCCUUUACAAAAGGAUCUAAAAAGACGGAGAAUAGGAAAAUCGCGAUAGAGGCAAGUGCAAUGGAAUUUUUUGAAGGGAAGCUAUCAGUCUGUCAGCCCUAAGACUCUAAAGGAAAGGGGAUAAAUAUUAAAUGGUUUUAUGGGUAAAAUGUUUAAGAAAACAUUUGAAUUUGAUUUCACUCACAUAUCCGUCUUCUCACAUGAGAAAAACAUAGAGCGUGGAAGGCAGUUGAAGGCAAGCACUGAGCUGCCGGUGCAGCGCUGAGCAAAACCAGCUCUUCUUUUGAGCCCUUCCCAUCAAUAGGGGAAGUAUUUUAUAUUUAUUUUGGGGAAAAAAUAAGCGAACAUAAGUAAUGAGACACACAAAGUGUGUACAAAUUGCAUUUAAUUGUUUUUUAAAAUGUUCACGAUAAGAUCAAGAGCGUAUGCAUUUGGCCAUCAGCUUCUAAAGCUUAUGUUUACAAAAAAAUAUAUGGAAUGCAAAGUGUUAAUCCAUGGAAAUGUACAAUUCAUGCAAAUGUACAGCAGGCUUAUGUGUAAAGCUACAGUUUGUGCAAGGUGAACUCUAAAGCGGAAGAGGUUUAAAACUGCAAGAUGAAUCCAGGUGGUGGCAAAUCCCUGAAAUCUAGAAUUGUGCACGGCAUGUUCACAGCCAUUGCCUCUCCAGUCCAGACAUAUUUAUACAAGGAAAAUCUCUCCAGUACUCUUAAUUUGCACGAUGACAUAUAGUCCACAUUACGUGCCUUGCCUUUGAAUAUAGAGACAUCACUACACUUGUUUUUGCUGCAUUUAUCAUUAUAGAAAAAAAUUAACAUUUUUAUGAUAAGAAUUGUUUUGUACUCUGAAUGAAAUUGUUGAUUUUUAACUUCAUGUACUACUCUAUUUCACAGUUACAUUGCAUAUCAAGGCUGUGUAUAGUUGCCGUUUUAAAGUUUGUAAUCAACCAGCAUUUUUUUUUUUUUUCUCAGUAUUUUUGGUGGUUUUUCUAAUAACCUGUCAUUUUUUUGUUUUCCUUAUUUUUCAAUGCUCAUUUUGUUCAUCUUCCAAUUACUAUUGUGGAGGGUGGAAUUCAGAAUUAUGAAAAUUAUGCAAUACCAAGUUUUGCCUAUGUAGGUAGUGCUUAUAGAUGCGUCAAUUAUUAGAGGCUAGUUUGGAGAUAGACAAUAUUGUAAUGCAUUUAUUUUGUUGAUAUCGUUGUUUGUCGUUGUUGUUGUUGAUGAUGUUGUUGUUGUUGUGGGUGUUUUUCCUUUUUUAUUGACCAAAGUGGGGACUGCUUUCUAUGCAGUGUAUGACAAGGUCUUUAUCUUUUUUUUCUUUUUUUAGCAUUUAGGCCUACCGAAUGACGGUGUGUUCCAGUGUAUUUUGAAUUCGCAAGUUUUAGAGGGAGGGGCGGUAUUUUUCUAGAAGUACUUUUUUUUAAAAGUGCACCCUUGGUCUUUAAACGGCUGCAAAGUCACUGAUUGGUCUACUGUGACUCUUACUUUUAACUUUCCACCUGGGGUGCUAGCAUGUGACCUUGAAGGAGCUCAUUUUUCACAGGAGAGACGGCUUGACUUGAGUAUGACAAUCAUUUUAAGAAAUCAUUUUGCGUCAAAUCCCAUUCUCUCACAGAUCCCUUAAAGCUGCAACUGAGGACGGAUACCGUUGCACGCUUGUAUCGAGUACUACGCCGUACUAUUCUAGACGUCACCUGAAUGCAAUUCCCAAGUAGAUGCCUUAAACACAUCAGUGAAGUGGCCUGUGACCUGCGCAACAAUCACACACCGACUAUUGCUAGUGAGACCUGUCCAAAUCAGUUCCAGACGGGCUCGAGCAAGCCUUUAGAAAGUAUUUUAUAAGUAGUAGAUUUGUAUAAAUGUAUAUACGAUAUGCACAUAUGUCAAUUCCUGAGAUACUUCCCCAGCAGAGAGCCCAGUAGAAGUAAAUAUUGGAAGCACAGAAGCGUGGUGUUUUCUGAUUUCGUGUCCUGUGGCCCCGUAGAAGCUUAAAUAGAAUUCACUAGAAGAAAAGAAUAGCACUUAUCUAGCACAUAGGCAAUCUUCUUCUCCCCCGUACAGUGUUUUGAAACCUAGUCUUAAACUAAACUCUCAGGCGUAAUACAGGGCAUUAUUUAUAUCAAUCAUUAUCAUAAAAAAAACUCUUCUCACAGAGAGAGCAGCGUUUCCGAUGCUGCUAUGACACCUUUUGCACUCUUUCCUUACAAUCGUGAAAGAAACGUUCCCCUCGGACAGACCGGGGCUCUCCGGCAGUCGUAAGCAGAGGGCUAAGAAGCAGAAAUCGUUUUUAAAAAUAAUCCUCAAGUCAAGCUCAAUCUCUCCGUUUUCACCCAUAUUUCUUAUGCAGAAAAUGUUUAAAAAGUCACCCCGUUCUAUGUGCACUGUUCUGUCUUUUUUCGUUGUUUUAUUCUUUUUAUUUGAGAAGAAAAACUAUAAGUGCUUUGCAGCCUUUGGCCAUUGGAGACCCCACUGACGUGCAUUGUCCCCAGUGUGUGUGUGUGUGUGUGUGUGUGUGUGUGUGUGUGUGUGUGUGUGUGUGUGUGUGUGUGUGUGUGUGUGUGUGUGUGUUUGCCUGUGAGUGUGCGUGAUAAAAUGUGUCAGGGUCACUGUGCUGUUGGUGUUUAUUUGAAUAGGAGGCUGUACAUAAAGGUAAAUAUCCUGAUUGCGUCGAUAGCAGUAGUCUGUGUGGUUGAACUCUGCGUUGGCAGCUUGAGUGUUAGUGUGCGUCUGUGUGUGUGUCUGUGUGAUAGAGUGCCUCUGACACUACACAAUGAGAGAAGAUGAGGGUCUUCCUAUUGAAUUAAAAAAAAAAAAGCCUGCCAUAGGACAGGAGUUUGUACACUGGAAACUUUCUCGAGAGUUCUCCUCUUUAAGCCCUUAUUUGUAAAUCUUCAAUUCUGGGGAAAAAUGUGUCAAUUCCAUUUUAGGAACAUUUUUGAAUUUGGUAUUUGUUUUGGAGGCUGGAUUUGAGUUAGAACUCUCCAGGAUUUCCAGAUUAUUAGAAUCUAAAGUGUUGUAUUCCUGUAUGUAUAGUAAAUAUAGGGGGAAAAUAUUCUAUACAGAUCCAUAGAUAUAAAAAAAAACCGACAACAAUGAAGGCUUUUUGUUAUUAAUAUUAUUAUUUCUGAUCUUGGUUGGUUAGUGCUUAGAUAUUUACAUUUGGGAAACACUUCAUGAAUAUUUGAAUUAUUGUUCUUUGAUUAGUGUGGCCAUAGCGAGUUUGAUGUGAUUUAUCUCAUUUUUUUGCAAAUGGGUGUGAAUUCUUGUCCAACAAGAUGUUGGUGUGAGUGUGUUUCGGUAGCAGCUGGGAGGUGUCUUCACUGAACCAGUAGAAAAGGCCCCAGAUUGCACCUGAACUUGAGCGAGAAGCAGGGUAAAACUUGCAGUGACAAACGUCCUCGAUGAAUCUAUCAGAUAGUUUCUUUUUUUUCUUUUUCGCUUCUUCUCAGAGGAAAUGUUGUGGGACGAUUGGUGCUACAUUUGGACUCAGAUCAGAUUCGGCAGGCCAAUGUUGAGCUGUUUAGUUAGUUUGUAUGCAGACGACACUCUUUAAUAUCUCUCUUAUGAUCAGUAACUACAUCUAGGCAGCACUCAUUUUGCACAUUCCGCAUGCUGUUUAUGCCUGAUGUGAUGUAAAAACACUUCAUUAACACUACGAACCAACAUCACAUUGUACUGCAGGUGCUUUAGAAUAGGGUACUGUACCUUCCAGCUGUUAAAAGCUAAUGUAUUUGGGCAUGGUCACGUAUUUCUAUCGCUACGCAGAGUGUGGAUGUAGCCUGUUAGAAAGCUCUUGAAACUUGUUAUUAGUCUACCAUCCCUUCAGAAAGAGCCAUAUCCAAGGCAGAUUUCACAACAUUAUUUCAGAAAGUAUUAGAAAACAGGACAUCUUUAUGCAAGGAGGACCUGUGGCACUCAUGCAAUAUGUAUACUUUUCUUUUAACUGAAUGUCACACACUCUGCAGGGACUGAGAGGGCGUAUGCAUGCAGAGGACAUUUCAUUUUCAUCCUACACGAGCAAUACACACCUUCCAUUCGUUGGCUAGCUGCUAGUCACUUGGCAUCAGGUUGUUAUAAAACAUGAAAAACCAGCAUUUUUACAGGAUGUAACAUUCACCAAAAGAAGACAAAAAAGAUAGCAAUGCAGUGCCUGUUCAAGCUGUCCGAGUGUCUAUUGUAUAUAAUUGUAAAAUGUGAUAGACUUACUUUCAUAUGUGACAUGAAAAACAACCAUCACAGUACAGAAUGUGGCAAACUCAUCUAGAAAUAGGCUCUUUAUUUCUUCUGAUGUUUUUUUGUUGCGAUUUAUUAACUAUGCCCACAUCAAGCUUGUUCAAAAUUUGAGAGGAGAUGUUCAUUCUUCUUCUUUUUUCUUUUGUUUUCCGGGAGGGGCGCGGCGGGGGGGGGGGGGGGUCAGUGCUAUUACGAGCAGUGAAAAGAUCAAAUAAUGUCUUUUCUCGUCACCAUUUUUUUCUUUGCAGGGCUGAUUUAUUUUUGGGGUCUUGUGGCACUUUUAAGUCCCUCUGCGCACACAUUUUUGACCACGUGAUUGAUGGUGGAAUUAUAUAUAACGAACAACAACAACAACACCAACAAAACGAUAUGUAAACAGUCUCCAGUAGUGAUCGUAGUUACACUGCAAGUGUGUGCAAAGGUCUAUGUAUGUAUCUGAAUGUACGUUUUAGAGGACUUUUUGGAAACCUUUUUUGUUUUUUAUCUUUUCAUUGACAGUUUAGGAGCCACAGGUGUCCAUUGUGAACUGUAUAGCGAAGGCCUUGAUAUCCCUUCUUUUAUUGAUUUUAGAAACGCCGAGCAUUAGGCAAUGCCUUCAAGCUGGUUACAUUUGGUGCAGGGGCUAAAAUUGCCACAAGAUUAAAAUCAGUGUAAAUAAAGGCUAAACUUUUUGUGAUUGUUACUGUUAUAUCCAGCCUAUACUGCUAGCAGCUGUUUUUACUGCAGUCAAUUACUGGAAGUGGAUAUAUUUCCUAUGCAAAACUGUUUAAACAAUAAAAUGAGCUAUGCUACAAAAACGA